rnacentral:lncRNA from 1 species
UUUUAUUUCACUUACUGUAAAUGUGAGUUAGAGCAAAUAGGCUCCUGAUGGUUAGCUGGGCUGGCUACUUUAGCCUUGCAGGAGGCAGUGUAUUACAAUGGCAGUAGAUGUUUGGGAGUCAGGUGUAUAAUUUUGGCUUCACUACCUACUGGGUGUGAGGCUUAACCUCUCUGAGUUUUAGUUUCCUCUUCUGUACAGUAGGGUUAAUACAUUUUCCCUAGGUCAUUUCUAACUUUUAUAUAAGCUCACAAAUGUAAAACAAAAAACUGUAUGGUAGGAUAUUUCUAGGCAAAUCAAUGUAUGUUAUGGUCCCUCUUGCUUUUCUUUGACUUAAAUGGAAUCAAUCAUUGCAUUGGAUAAGAAGGGAAGCAGUACUGGUUGAGUGAACACUGUGAAUUUGGAGGACGUGUGCUGGACCUCAGCCAUACCUCUAACACAUUGGGUAACCUUGGACACACAACGUGACCUCACAGAACUCCAGUUCCCUCUGUCAUAAUCUGGAAUGAUGAUAUCAAUCAAGUGAAGCAGCUAUCACAGGGUCUGGAACAUAGUACAUCCCAGCCUUCUUGCACAUAGAAACACUACACAGCACUUCAGCUGUAUGUUUGGGGGCCAUUUUAAACAGCAAAAUCAUCAACAGGAAGCAGAAAAUUGUAAAAAUUGUGGCACUAAAUAGACCAUGUAAAGGACACAUGUUUGCAAUAAGAAAGCUGAAACAAGAAGGGGGAGUGUCACCUUAUUUGAUCCAGCUAGAAACUCAGGUGCUGGUAUUCCAGCAACACUCAGGCGGCUGCUCCAGGAGGCUGCAGAGGGGUCCUUUUUAGCCGUCAACAAAACUGGCUAUGGUCACGCCCAUUGGGAAACUCAUUGCUGCCUUCAAGGACUCAGAAGCUGUAGGAAUAUUCAGGCACAGACACCAGACCCAGCUUCAUCUCUAACUUGUGGCAAAGGACAGUACAUCCUGGGAUGGGACCCUAUGCUCCCCUAUGCCAUUUAGACAGAGCCUGGGGAGAGUGACUUCCCAGGGUAUCCAUGUUGGAAUCUCUCAUUUGAUUCUUAUUCAAAUUUAGGUUCUGUCAAUAGAAGAUACUAAAGAAAGAAAGCCAGGAGAAGAAAAGGGACUUCUUUCUUCAAGGUCUAAGCUGUUCUAAUAGCAUUAUUCUGGGAAUGGCAUCUUCCACUCCUCCUAGUACAAAGAACCUGCUUCCUCAUACCCCGUCAAGGAACUGCAGCAUCCAGGUGAUGGCCACAGUGGCAGAACCUAGGAAGCCAAGAAGAAACCAGAGAAUGGAGACACAUGGCAGCAAUGGCAAGUCAUCAGACCCAGGAUUUCCCAAAGAACACUGGUCCAGGAAGAUGCUCUGUGAAAAAGUGUUCCCUGGUCGGAGAAAUUUGUGAAACACUUUGCAUAAUACUUAAAAGAAUGUAUGGCACAUCAAAGAUCUUAUAACAGUCUCCGCAGGAAGCAGCUGCAGUCAUUAGCCAUAGGACAGACUAAACACACAAUCUGCAUGGAAGGAGGCCUGGAUCAGCUUGGUCUUUCAGAUCUCUAAUCUCAGGCACAGGAAAGCACCAUCAACAGCACCCUUUGUAUAUAUACAUAAAGGUAACAUAUUUUAUCAUUUAAAGGGAUUUGAGAAAUUGAAGAGGCCCAACUCUUUUUCUGCCUUCUUUGGUUUGAGGCUUAGAUUGCUUAAGGGGCUUGCCCAGGAUCACAUAUCUUGUAAGAGACAGAGCAAGGAUUCAAAGCCAGUGCUGGCUUCUGUGUCUCCAUUCUUUCCAUUCUCCUCCAGUGGCUCUUUUGGGAAGCUGAGGGAGGAACAGCAGCAGAAUUGGGUGGCACCUGCCCAUGCCCAUCAUGCACUGAGCAUCUUCAGGUCUGGCCAUGGACCCCUUAAUUCCUAAUCCAGAAUUCCUCCCAUCACUCUUUGCUGAGAAAAGCACUAAAAUGGAGAUAUUUGUUCCAAAAUCCCAAAUUUUAAUUCCAUAGAGCAAAGUGUCUUUAUUUUUAAAUCAUCCAACUCAUCAUAAAUUCAGCUGGAUUCAUUAGAGUUAAAGAAUUGACAACACCAAACAUUUUGUAACAGAAGUUACUGCUGCUUAAGGAGUUAGGGUUCACCUUUUCCAGAGCUCUUCAGUGCCAACCCAGCACCAAUAUCCCAGCGUCGCUGGAGGGAAUGAUGGCGCCCUGCAUUUCAGAGAAGAUUUAAAACCGAGAUCCUAACUGCUCAUCAUCAUUAAAAAUCUCCAGGCAGUUUUCAUAAGAGCAAGGGGGUGGUUGCCUGAGGUUUUGGCUGACAGUCAACCCAACUAAUUACAUUCUGUCUACUGUGUCCUCCCGCAGUUUCAAUUGGAUAUGUUUUUUUUUUUAUUUCCUGUCCUAAUCUGAAUGUAGGGUUGCUAUGUGUUCUUAAGCAGAUGCUGCUGUUCUUGCUGGUAGAAGAGGCUUUUCAGAUUUGUUUUUUUCCUCACAGAAAGUUUUUGAGACUUUAAAUAAAAUAAUUCUUCUAAAUGUUCCUAAGAUCCUGGCACCAAAUACAUUCUAAAUGCAAUGUGUGCAGCAUGAAGGAAUUGCAAAGAUAGCAAGUAGAUAAAAGACGUACUUCACAGGAGCAUCCAGCCUCCUAUAG